rnacentral:lncRNA from 1 species
CCAGCGGAGCGCGACCGGCCCGCAGCGGCCUCUCCGGGAGCGACCGCUGCGAUCCCCGGUACCCAGCGCAGUCUCCCGCAAGGUUCCGUGCUGGGAUCGCCGCGCGUUCGUACCGCAGCGCCCGGCUCUGACCGCUCGGUUCGCGCUCGCCGGCCGUCUGUGCCCUGACUGCUGUGCCCGCUCUGUGCCCACACCAGCAGCGCACUGCAAGACUUGGAUUUGCAGCAGUUUUGUAGCUGCAGAGGAGCAGACUGAGUUGCCCCUGAAGCAGGAAAACUGAGCAGUGUGGAAGUAAGAAGGAGAAGCCAUCUUAGUGAGAGCUUUGCCUUCGUCCUUGGGGUUGGCGAGCUGUGCUCAGAUUGAGUGGAGACCUCUUGAAUGAAGAUUUACAGCAAGGAUAUCAUUGAAGGAAUCUACUGUGUUCUACUCAGGUGCCCACUAUCCAGUGCAAGUAUCAAAGUUUUGGCCAGGAACGCCCUAGGUGUGGAGAUAGUAAAUGAUAAUUCCUGCAUGAACCUGUGAGGGCCUGGUUCUUUGGAAGGAGGUUUCAAGCACCCCUAGGAAAAAAAUCAGAGAAAACAGCUUGAUGUCUCCAGCAGAAAGAUUUGUUUUGCAGUCCCUUUAUCUGAAAUGUGCCUACAAUUACACCUAGCCUAACAGAAAAGCUCUGAGGCUUGAUUAGUGUGUGCAAAGCCCAUCAGUGUGUACAUGGUGAAGUCUAUAGCACUGAGAAAGGGAGGAAUGAGGUGGCCCAAUAACUCUGCGGUGAGUCACUAGUGUUACUUAAUCUAUAGUACAGCUGUGGCACACAGAAUGCUCA